GAGAAAGCACCUGCCUCCAAUUGAGAGUCCAACCCCCCAUUAACCUACACAUAGAAAUAUACCAACCCAGAAAGAACAUAGAAGUACAAAACAUAGAACAUAAACCAAAACCCGGAAAUAAUAAAUCAAACACCCUACUAAAUAAACCACCAUCCCGAACCACAUAAAACAAAUACCCUCUGCCACGUCCUGACCAAACUACAAUAACAAAUAACCCUUAUACUGGUCAGGACGUGACAAUGCGCUUGUUAAAUCAUCACCCGUUUGUCGUAGUAGGCUAUGAUUCGAUGAGAAAUUAACAGGCACCGCAGUUAACUAGUGAUUAUGUUAAGAUUGAUCAUUUUUUAUAAGAUAAGUUUAAUGCUAGCUAGCAUUUUACCUUGGCUUCUUGCUGCCCUCGCGUAACAGGUAGUCAGCCUGCCAUGCAGGCUCCUCGUGGAGUGCAAUGUAAGGCAGGUGGUUAGAGCGUUGGACUAGUAACCAGAAGGUUGCAAAAACGAAUCCCCAAAUCCCCCCUGAACAAGGCAGUUAACCCCCGUUCCUAGGCCGUCAUUGAAAAUAAGAAUGUGUUCUUAAUCUGACUUGCCUAGUUAAAUAAAGGUGUAAAAAAACAAAUUUGGCAAAUUGGUGGCCAAAAAUACCGAUUACAGAUUGUUAUGAAAACUUGAAAUCGGCCCUAAUUAAUCGGCCAUUCCGAUGAAUCGGUCGAUCUCUAGUUUUUCUCACCCAUCGCCCUUAUGUUCUGUCUGUUUCUGCCUUAAGUGUGUUUAUGUGUCUAUCUCAUUUCCUCUCCCCCCACCUCCCUUUUUUCAUUCUCUUCCUCUCUCCCCUCCUCGCUCCCCCUCUCUCUCGCUCCUGUGCCCCUGAUUGGAGCGGUUGUGCUCCACGCUGCUCUACCCAGACGAGGGUCUGAAGGCCUCAGUCAGGGAGCUGCCCAAUCCCUCCCCCCCAGAGACAGGGUGUGGUGUGUGUGCUGCUGAUGCAGACCCUGGCCCACGCUUGCUCCUCUCAGCUCACCAUCAACUGCCUGGGCUUCCUGAAGCAGCUGCUGAAGCUGGGUCAGCUGGUGUCUCUGCUGAUGAACAGCCCCUGUGAGCAGAUCCGGUCUGAUCUGGAUCAGAGCCUGGACCAGGACCAAGAGGCCCAGUCCAGCACACAGCUCUCCCUGGAGCGCUGCCCACUGCCACUCAUACUCAAAAAGUCUGAAGGAGGCCCUGAGGCUGACUAACGUGGAGGUGCAGAGACAGGGCCUGCUGCUGCUCACAGAGAUACUGGAGAGGUGAGGCAUCAGGUCUGUCUACCUCAUACAUAACAGCAGAGAGGUGAGGCAUCAGGUCUGUCUACCUCGUACAUAACAGCAGAGAGGUGAGGCAUCAGGUCUGUCUACCUCAUACAUAACAGCUGGUCUAUUUGACAUUUUGUGAAUGUAUCGCAAGUUGUCCUUUACGUUCAGUGAAAGUGACAAGACUGAUCUCAGUGCUGACCAAGCACAGAGAAAGGUGUGAGAGAGAGGGGUAAUUUGACCUCAGCAUCUCGUAUUUUUAAAUGUAUUUUUAUUUACAGUUUUUUACAAUCGCUAGGACCCAUUUCUCAAUACUUAGGUCAGUUUUUCAGAACUCUUCACACAAUGAGUACAACAGCAGUCUAUGUGGGCUAAACUGUGGAUCAUUUAUCAUUGCUUCGGCACAAAAUGCAUUCAAUGACUACAUCUUUCAAUUUUCAUGAACUCUUUUCUCACUCAGACACAACCACCACCAAAACUCUAUGUACCUACAGGCCAAUUUGCACAUGUUUACAUACUCUUUUCAAAACAGUUAAACUUAAGUUCAAAACCUAAAAUAACACAAAAUUGAAUAAGACAUUAAUUUGCUACAUUCCUACAGUAAUACCCUAUUGAAAUAUAUUCCAAAUCUAAAAAAUGAAAUACUAUCAAAACAAUUAGACCAACCACAGCUGAUUCCCAUUGUAGCUGAACACCUACCCAUGUGUUAGUCUUUCAAUUACAUUACCAUCUAUACAAAAGGGGAGAUCUUAUGAAUAAUGCUGUACUGUAAUGUAAACAUGGACCCAGACAGAGAGAGAGAAGUGGCUGACAGAGGAAGAAGAGUGUCUGGGAGAGGGAGAGGAGUAGGUACGCGUGGUGGAAGAAGAGUGUCUGGGAGAGGGAGAGGAGUAGGUACGCGUGGUGGAAGAAGACUGGCUGGGAGAGGGAGAGGAGUAGGUACGCGUGGUUGAAGAAGACUGGCUGGGAGAGGGAGAGGAGUAGGUACGCGUGGUGGAAGAAGACUGGCUGGGAGAGGAGUAGGUACGCGUGGUGGAAGAAGACUGGCUGGGAGAGGAGUAGGUACGCGUGGUGGAAGAAGACUGGCUGGGAGAGGGAGAGGAGUAGGUACGCGUGGUGGAAGAAGACUGAGAGGAAGAUCAAGAGCUGUAGUCUCAGAUGAGAUAAUUGAUCAUCUAAUAAAUCAUGGUCUA
rnacentral:lncRNA from 8 species